GGGUUACUUUUUGGAGUGCUGGGGAACUUUUUCCCCUUUUUGAGGCCAGGGGGAAGGGGAUGCCCAAUCCAGAGAGACAUGGGGGCAAGAAGGACGGGAGUGGAGGAGCUUCUGGAACUUUGCAGCCGUCAUCAGGAGGUGGCAGCUCCAACAGCAGAGAGCGUCACCGCUUGGUGUCGAAGCACAAACGGCACAAGUCCAAGCACUCCAAAGACAUGGGGUUGGUGACCCCCGAAGCAGCACCUUUGGGUACAAUUAUCAAACCUUUGGUGGAGUAUGAUGACAUCAGCUCUGAUUCAGAUACCUUCUCUGACGACAUGGCCUUCAAAUUAGACAGGAGGGAGAAUGAUGAACGUCGUGGAACUGAUCGGAGUGACCGCCUGCACAAACAUCGUCACCACCAGCACAGACGUUCCCGGGACUUACUAAAAAGUAAACAGACGGAAAAAGAAAAAAACCAGGAAGUUUCCAGCAAGUCGGGAUCGAUGAAGGACCGGAUAUCAGGAAGCUCAAAGCGGUCGAAUGAGGAGAAUGAUGACUAUGGGAAGGCACAGAUCUCCAAAAGCGGCAGCAACAAGGAAUCCAGGUCAUCCAAACUACACAAGGAAAAGGCUCGGAAAGAACGUGAGUUGAAGUCUGGGCACAAAGACCGGAGUAAAAGUCAUCGGAAAAGGGAAACACCCAAAAGCUACAAAACAGUGGACAGCCCCAAACGGAGAUCCAGGAGUCCCCACAGGAAAUGGUCUGACAGCCCCAAGCAAGAUGAUAGCCCCUCGGGAGCUUCUUAUGGCCAAGAUUAUGACCUUAGUCCCCCAAGAUCUCACACCUCCAGCAAUUAUGACUCCUACAAGAAGAGUCCUGGAAGUACCUCAAGAAGGCAGUCAAUUAGCCCACCUUACAAGGAGCCUUCAGCCUACCAGUCCAGCACCCGGUCACCCAGUCCCUACAGCAGACGACAGAGGUCUGUGAGUCCCUAUAGCCGGAGACGUUCUUCCAGCUAUGAAAGGAGUGGCUCUUACAGUGGGAGAUCACCGAGUCCCUAUGGUCGAAGGCGAUCCAGCAGCCCUUUCACCAGCAAACGGUCUCUGAGUCGGAGUCCACUCCCCAGGAAAUCCAUGAAGUCUAGAAGUAGAAGUCCCGCAUAUUCAAGACACUCGUCCUCUCACAGUAAGAAGAAGAGAUCCGGGUCACGCAGUCGACAUUCCAGUAUCUCACCUGUCAGGCUUCCAUUGAACUCCAGCUUGGGAGCUGAACUCAGUAGGAAAAAGAAGGAAAGAGCAGCUGCUGCUGCUGCAAAAAUGGAUGGAAAGGAAUCCAAGGGUUCACCUAUUAUUUUGGCUAGAAAAGAGAACAGUUCAGUAGAGGCUAAGGAUUCAGGUUUGGAGUCUAAAAAGUUACCCAGAGGUUUAAAAUUGGAAAAAUCUGCCCCAGAUACUGAACUGAUGAAUGUAACACAUCUAAACACAGAGGCCAAAAAUUCUUUAGAUACAGGGAAAAUAAAGGUGGAUGAGAACUCUGAGAAGCAUCCUGUUAAAGAUUUGAAAGUACAGGGAUCAAGAGACUCUAAACCCAUGGCGUUGAAGGAGGAGAUUGUUACUCCAAAAGAGACAGAGACAUCAGAAAAGGAGACCCUUCCACCUCUCCCCACAGUUACUUCUCCUCCACCUCCUUUACCAACUACUACCCCUCCACCUCAGACACCCCCUUUGCCACCUUUGCCUCCACUACCAGCUAUGCCACAGCAACCACCUCUGCCUCCUCCCCAACCAGCAUUUAGUCAGGUUCCUGCUUCUAGCACUCCAACUUUGCCCCCUUCUACUCACUCAAGGACAUCUACUCUGUCCUCUCAGGCAAAUUCUCAGCCCCCUGUACAGGUUUCUAUGAAGACUCAAGUGUCUGUAACAGCUGCUAUUCCACACCUAAAAACGUCAACGUUGCCUCCUCUGCCCCUCCCACCCUUAUUACUUGGAGAAGAUGACAUGGAUAGUCCAAAAGAAACUCUGCCUUCAAAACCUUUAAAGAAAGAGAAGGAACAAAGGCCACGUCACUUACUCACGGACCUCCCUCUCCCUCCAGAGCUUCCUGGUGGGGAUCCAUCUCCCCCAGACUCUCCAGAACCAAAGGCAAUCACACCACCUCAGCAACCAUAUAAAAAAAGACCAAAAAUUUGUUGUCCUCGUUAUGGAGAAAGAAGACAAACAGAAAGUGAUUGGGGGAAACGCUGUGUGGACAAGUUUGACAUUAUUGGGAUUAUUGGAGAGGGAACCUAUGGCCAAGUUUAUAAAGCCAAGGAUAAAGACACAGGAGAGCUAGUGGCCCUGAAGAAGGUGAGACUAGACAAUGAGAAAGAAGGCUUCCCAAUCACAGCCAUUCGUGAGAUCAAAAUCCUUCGUCAGCUAAUCCAUCGAAGUGUUGUUAACAUGAAGGAAAUUGUCACAGAUAAACAAGAUGCACUGGAUUUCAAGAAGGACAAAGGUGCUUUUUACCUUGUAUUUGAGUAUAUGGACCAUGACCUAAUGGGAUUGCUAGAAUCUGGUUUGGUGCACUUUUCUGAGGAUCAUAUCAAGUCAUUCAUGAAGCAGCUAAUGGAAGGAUUGGAUUACUGUCAUAAAAAGAAUUUCCUGCAUCGGGAUAUUAAGUGUUCUAACAUUUUGCUGAACAACAGUGGGCAAAUCAAACUAGCAGAUUUUGGACUUGCUCGUCUCUAUAACUCUGAAGAGAGUCGCCCUUAUACAAACAAAGUCAUUACUCUGUGGUACCGACCUCCAGAACUUCUGCUGGGAGAGGAGCGUUAUACACCAGCCAUAGAUGUUUGGAGCUGUGGAUGCAUCCUUGGGGAACUGUUCACAAAGAAGCCUAUUUUUCAAGCCAAUCUGGAACUGGCUCAGCUAGAACUGAUCAGUCGACUCUGUGGUAGCCCUUGUCCAGCUGUGUGGCCGGAUGUUAUCAAGCUGCCUUACUUCAAUACCAUGAAACCGAAGAAGCAGUAUAGAAGGCGUCUACGAGAAGAAUUCUCUUUCAUUCCUUCAGCAGCACUUGAUUUGCUGGACCAGAUGCUGACACUAGAUCCUAGCAAACGUUGCACAGCUGAGCAGACCCUACAGAGUGACUUCCUUAAAGAUGUCGACCCUAGCAAAAUGGAUCCUCCAGACCUCCCCCACUGGCAGGAUUGCCAUGAAUUAUGGAGUAAGAAACGGCGACGACAGCGACAAAGUGGUGUUGUGGUAGAAGAGCCACCUCCAUCCAAAGCCUCUCGGAAAGAAACUACCUCAGGGACAAGUGCUGAGCCUGUGAAGAAUAGCAGCCCAGCACCACCUCAGCCUGCUCCUGGCAAGGUGGAGCCUGGGGCUGGGGAUGCGAUAGGCCUCGGUGACAUCACACAGCAAUUGAAUCAAAGUGAAUUGGCAGUAUUAUUGAACCUGCUGCAGAGCCAAACCGACCUGAGCAUCCCUCAAAUGGUACAGCUGCUUAACAUCCACUCUAACCCUGAAAUACAGCAGCAGCUGGAGGCCCUGAACCAAUCUAUCAGUGCCCUAACGGAAGCCACUUCCCAGCAGCAGGACUCAGAGCCCAUGGCCCCAGAGGAGUCUGUGAAGGAGGCACUUCCUGCUCCAGUGGUCCAGCCUUCAGCAGAACAGAAGACCCCUGAAGCUUCAAGCACACCAGCUGACAUGCAGAAUAUGUUGGCAGUUCUCUUGAGUCAGCUGAUGAAAACCCAGGAGCCAGCAGGCAACCUGGAGGAAAACAACAGUGACAAGAACAGUGGGCUACAGGGGCCCCGAAGAACUCCUACAAUGCCACAGGAGGAGGCAGCAGGUGGCCGUAGCAGCAGGAGGGAUGGCCCCUGAGGAAUUUUGUGAUGUCCAUCAGUCACCUGAUACAUGGAGCCCUAGAAAAUUCAGUGUUUUUCACAGACUAAAGCCAGGUUAGAUGUGAGAUCCACCUAUCCAAACAUUGUGCUAGACACCAAAAGUAGAAGCCUACAGGGUGCUUCUCUCCAUCCUCAAUGUCCAGAACUGGGCAGGUGACCAGCCUCCAGUACUCACCUCCACCCUUCCUGCUGCCAGAUGUGGAAACAGAGACCAGGAGAUGGGAAAUCAGCUGAAUCCUGUCCUGGUGUUGCUUUGUGUUCCUGGAGUUGGAGACUUCCUGGGAACAGGGAAAGCUGGGGUGAGGGGCCCCCUGCUGAGAUGCUCCUGAAGAUUCAGAGACGGAUUUGGUUGGAGAAAGAGACAGACCAGCUGCCCUUCAUGUAGGAACAUGGGACCAGCUCCACUUCCCCAGCUCUCCCUGACAGCAUCAGGAGCCCAGGCCUCGGCUGGAAUACCCGUAAUAAAGCUCAGUCCUGAACUAAAGCAAUAAUUACCUGGCUCUGGUAUAAAAGUGGUGCUGUGAGGGGGUGCACCAGCUGUGGUGAGAUGUAAGAGUGAGUGAGUGAGUGAGUGAGUAAUAUAAGAAUCACUCCUCAGUAGCACAUGCUCUCCUCUUUCUCAAACCUCUCUCUCCUUGGCCCCCCUGUUUCUUCCACCUUCCUUCAGCCAACUCCACUCCUGGCCAUUUUAUCCCCUCCUGUCUAAGAAGACAUGGUAAGUAGUUGUCUGUUUCCUGUCUAUACUUUUCUCUCUCUCACUCUCCUUCUCUUCUCCCAACGCCCAGCCAAGAGUUAACCCAUUUGAAUUCUUUCCACCAGUGAAUGCCAUCAGGAUCUGAACCCAGAGUCCCCCGCCUCUGCCACUCCCCUGACUCUGAGACUGCCACUCUGACUGAGACUGACUCAUCAACCCACGUCCUCCCACAAGUACAGCCAGGCCAGGACUGGUAUGUCCACUGGUACCAAGGGCCCUGACCCGAAGCAGAGGGCAGCCCUAGGGGUGCUGUGGAGCCUGGCCCUAAAUGCGUGUAUGCCUGUGCAUUGGGCACACUGGUUUAUUAGUGUUAUUUCAGCAUUGUGAUGCAGAGAGAGUAAGUGUAACAGCUGCUCCUUACUUGCAGUGUUUAUUGUUACCUAGAGACAACCUCCUGGCUUUUUCCCAGCUCCCCCUCCCCCCCCAGCCCAGCCCCCUUCUUGCCAACAGUCCUACUCUCCCCACACUGAUGGGAAAUUUAUAGCUUGCCCAUACCAUGCCUUUAACCCUCUCCUCUCCGUAGGGUAGAUGGUAAGGGAAGCCAAAGAGAGCAGUGGGCAUGCUUGGGCCCCAGCAGGUAGAAUAGUGUAUGGAGGAGGGAAGGACAGAGGGAGGGAGGGAUGAGACCUCCCCUCCCCAGUCGAUGUGUCCAGACUCAGGCCCCAGUUGUCCUCCUGCUUCUCAUGUUGAGAUGAAGAGCUUUCGACCCAGCCUUGGGAUCCCAACAUCCUCCUCACAUGAUUAUUCUCUUUCUUCCCUGGGCAUCUCUAAGGCCCCAGUUGACUGCCUGGUCCUGAGCAAGUCCAGCAAGGUAGUACUGAAACAGGAUGAAUAAAUACUGAGUGGCAGAACCUCCACCCCCCCUCCUUUCUAUAGAGAUGUUAUAUGGAAACAGAUACGCGGCUCCGACAUGAGGAAUACUGGCCAGACCUCCACAGCUAGGUAGAUGUCAGGCAUGAAUCUGGCUGCUGAGCCUGGUGGGAAAAACUGCCCAUGGUAACUUCACCCUGAGCCUGGCACUAAGGUCCUGAGGGACUCCCAGGCCAUUCUUCAAGCUGCUCUCCUUGGUCUGACUAAGCUAUUCCUUUCUGCUUUUCUUCCUGGUCCAUUUUCUCCUGCUUAUCUUUGGUUUGAUACCUUGGGGCAGAUCCAGGAGACCAAAGGGACUGAAGUUUCCUAGUCAUGGCCUGAACAGAACUGGGGAAGGAGAAGCUCCUCUCUCCCCUCCUGACUUAGGACCUUUCAUGGAGGGACACUAUGCCAUAUAUUCACCAUCUCCACUGCUAAUGAGAGGGAAAAGGGUCAUAUUUUAGCAGAAAGGAUAGAGGUCAGACAUGGAAAAACUCGUGAAUGUAAGACUUCAGAAUGGGACUACUUCUCUUCAGAGAUUUUGCUUCUGCCUGGAUGGAUUUAAGUCUGUGCCUACCCAAGGGGCAUCAGAAGAACAGGGUUACUUUUCUGGUGCUCCUUCAGAUGUGGGCCUCAGUGCAGGCUUCACACACUGCACCCCUCCUCAGUCCUUCUAGAUGUAGUGUGUUAAGCGGCCAGCCUUGGGUCCCAGUGCUAGCGCUGCCAUUUAUCAGCUGCGCUAUCUUAGUAAGUCACUUAACCUCUUUGAGCCCUACUUUCCUUGUCUGAAAUGCAAAUGAACAACCUCUUAAGAUUGUGGAGAGAAUGUAGUGAAAUAAUGAAUGUAAAGCACCUAGGACAGUGCUUGAUACUCAGUAGGUGCUCAUUCAACAGGGGGUGAUGCAACAGAGUCUAUUACGUUUAUCGCGUCAGCAGGGCUGACAUUGCUUCAAAGACUCCAUGAGUCCCCUGAAAUUAUAGUCCAAAUAUGUAUAUAUAUAUAUGCUGGGGAGAAUGUCCAUAGUUUUCUUCAUGGUGUGGAGCCAGGGGUGACAGUCUCCAGAAAAGAAAAUAGCCCCAAUCCCUUGACUCAGACUCCCCAAUGAGACAGUUCCCCCAUUCCCAUUCCUCUCCAGCCAGGAGCACCUUAGGCAGUGUUCUGCCGGAAGUACAUCUUUGUCUAGGGUGGAGCUGGGAGAAACAGACAUUAGGAUAGCAACACCUAAUAUUUGCCAGGCACUUUACACUUGUUAAGUACAUUUACCUACAUUAGCUCUUUUGACACCCAUAACACCUCAGUAAAGUCCACUGCCAUUUAUUGAAUGCCUACAUUGUGCUGGGUGUAUAUUUUUAAAGUAUGUUUCAAGUCUAUAGAAUAUUUCAUUACCUAGAUAUGUCAUGAUUUAUAAGGCUCAUCUCCUAUUUUUAGUCUUUCAGGUACUUUUACUGUUCUAAAUAAUACCACAACAAACAUCCUAACACAUAAAACUUCAUGGAUUUUUUAUAGUAAAUUCCAAGAAGUGGAAUUAUUGGAUCAACA